UGCAUUCACUACUGUAGUCGCUCUGGGUAAGAGCGUCUGCUAAAUGACUAAAA
rfam:Salmo salar isolate Sally breed double haploid chromosome ssa21, whole genome shotgun sequence.